UUGUGAGCUCGAUGAGUAGGGCGGGACACGUGGUAUCCUGUCUGAAUAUGGGGGGACCAUCCUCCAAGGCUAAAUACUCCUGACUGACCGAUAGUGAACCAGUACCGUGAGGGAAAGGCGAAAAGAACCCCGGCGAGGGGAGUGAAAAAGAACCUGAAACCGUGUACGUACAAGCAGUGGGAGCCCCACCACUAAGCCAGUGGUGAACUCCACAUACGCAUCCUUUGCUGAAGGUGCGGUUAACGGAGCGCAAGCGACGUUCAACCUCAAAAGAAGCAGAGGGGGCUUAGUGGUGGGG
rnacentral:rRNA from 3 species